GAAGGUGGAUGUAAGGCUGUCAGCAGUAUGCACAGAUCUGUGUCCACACUUCACUGAUGUGCCUUUUAACAGGUCCUGGAACAAACCCUAAGGUCAGAGACCAGCAAAUCUGGCUCAGCUCUUUGCCCUUCAACAGCAAUGAAAACUGCACUGGGGUGGGGGGAUUUCUAGGGAAUGAAGGGCAGCUGAGCAGUUGGACUUUCCUAUAAAAGGAGACUAUGGGGGUAGAUCAUCUGGAAGACUUGGAGAUGAGUUUUGUUAUGGCAAGGGUUUCUGUAGUAGCAAAGGAUGGGAUACUGUGCUCUGGUUUUCCUCAAAGGCCUGAAGACCUGUCUUGGGAACUUCAGAGAAACAGGAAUGGCUGAACUCUAAGUAAAGCAGACGACAGCAGAAAACCCAAGAAGGAGGAAAGCAGAAUUU